rnacentral:rRNA from 1 species
AGAGUUUGAUCCUGGCUCAGGAUGAACGCCGGCGGUGUGCCUAAUACAUGCAAGUCGAACGCGUUGGCCCAAUUGAUUGACGGUGCUUGCACCUGAUUGAUUUUGGUCGCCAACGAGUGGCGGACGGGUGAGUAACACGUAGGUAACCUGCCCAGAAGCGGGGGACAACAUUUGGAAACAGAUGCUAAUACCGCAUAACAGCGUUGUUCGCAUGAACAACGCUUAAAAGAUGGCUUCUCGCUAUCACUUCUGGAUGGACCUGCGGUGCAUUAGCUUGUUGGUGGGGUAACGGCCUACCAAGGCGAUGAUGCAUAGCCGAGUUGAGAGACUGAUCGGCCACAUUGGGACUGAGACACGGCCCAAACUCCUACGGGAGGCAGCAGUAGGGAAUCUUCCACAAUGGACGCAAGUCUGAUGGAGCAACGCCGCGUGAGUGAAGAAGGGUUUCGGCUCGUAAAGCUCUGUUGGUAGUGAAGAAAGAUAGAGGUAGUAACUGGCCUUUAUUUGACGGUAAUUACUUAGAAAGUCACGGCUAACUACGUGCCAGCAGCCGCGGUAAUACGUAGGUGGCAAGCGUUGUCCGGAUUUAUUGGGCGUAAAGCGAGUGCAGGCGGUUCAAUAAGUCUGAUGUGAAAGCCUUCGGCUCAACCGGAGAAUUGCAUCAGAAACUGUUGAACUUGAGUGCAGAAGAGGAGAGUGGAACUCCAUGUGUAGCGGUGGAAUGCGUAGAUAUAUGGAAGAACACCAGUGGCGAAGGCGGCUCUCUGGUCUGCAACUGACGCUGAGGCUCGAAAGCAUGGGUAGCGAACAGGAUUAGAUACCCUGGUAGUCCAUGCCGUAAACGAUGAGUGCUAAGUGUUGGGAGGUUUCCGCCUCUCAGUGCUGCAGCUAACGCAUUAAGCACUCCGCCUGGGGAGUACGACCGCAAGGUUGAAACUCAAAGGAAUUGACGGGGGCCCGCACAAGCGGUGGAGCAUGUGGUUUAAUUCGAAGCAACGCGAAGAACCUUA